rnacentral:rRNA from 1 species
UACGGAGGGGGCUAGCGUUGCUCGGAAUCACUGGGCGUAAAGGGCGCGUAGGCGGGAUGGCAAGUCAGUCGUGAAAUCUCUCGGCUCAACCGAGAAACGUCGGCUGAUACUGCCGUUCUUGAGGGAUGCAGAGGAGACUGGAAUUCCCGGUGUAGCGGUGAAAUGCGCAGAUAUCAGGAGGAACACCAGUGGCGAAGGCGGUGCUCUGGGCCGGAACUGACGCUGAGGAGCGAAAGCGUGGGGAGCAAACAGG